rnacentral:rRNA from 1 species
UACGUAGGGGGCUAGCGUUGUCCGGAAUUACUGGGCGUAAAGGGUUCGCAGGCGGAAAUGCAAGUCAGAUGUAAAAGGCGGUAGCUUAACUCCUGUAAGCUUUUGAAACUACAUAUCUUGAGAUGAGUAGAGGUAAGUGGAAUUUCUAGUGUAGCGGUGAAAUGCGUAGAUAUUAAAAAGAACACCGGUGGCGAAGGCGACUUACUGGGCUCAUUCUGACGCUGAGGUACGAAAGCGUGGGUAGCAAACAGG